CACCGGCAGCCCAAGUGGUAGCCAUUCUUACUGGGUCUAAAGCGUCCGUAGCCGGCCGGGUAAGUUCCUUGGGAAAUUUGAUCGCUCAACGAUCAAGCUUCCAGGGAAUACUGUCCGGCUUGGGACCGGGAGAGGUCAGAGGUACCUCAAGGGUAGGGGUGAAAUCCGUUAAUCCUUGGGGGACCGCCAGUAGCGAAGGCGUCUGACCAGAUCGGAUCCGACGGUGAGGGACGAAGGCUAGGGGGAGCGAACCGGAUUAGAUACCCGGGGUAGUCCUAGCUGUAAACGAUGCGGGCUAGGUGUUGGCAUUACUGCGAGUGAUGCAAGUGCCGAAGGGAAGCCGUUAAGCCCGCCAUCUGGGGAGUACGGUCGCAAGGCUGAAACCUAAAGGAAUUGGCGGGGAGCACUACAACGGGUGGAGCCUGCGGUUC
rnacentral:rRNA from 1 species